UUCUGGUGGCUCAGAUGGUAGAGCGUCUGCCUAUAAUGCGGGAGACUCGGGUUCAAUCCCUGAGUCAGGAA
rnacentral:tRNA from 1 species